ensembl:lncRNA
GUGUGCUUUAGGAUUUCUUUGAGUUUGGGCAACUACAUUGUUUCUCAACUUCCCAUGAUCAUCUGAAGACAACUUGUCCAAUUCACCUCACAACUUCGCUUUGAAAAUACUUACACACACACACAAAACGUAGAACAGUAACGGGAAGACAUUCAAUAUGAAACAUUAAGACAUUUAUAUACAUAAAUAUAUACCUGUGAAUUCUGAAGCUCUAUGGUAGCUGGUAGCUCUAUGGUACCAAGCUUUAUGGUAGAGAUGCAAACAGCAGUAAAACUUUGCGCAGGUAUUUUACUAGUUUCCACGUUACAGCAUGUCAAUGUCCUUUAUGUUAUCACAAAUCUGGUCGGGACAUGUCAAAACCAAAUGUUAAAAUCUAAAAAAUCUAAUCUGUGUGAGGAGUGAUGCUUCAUAUAAUGAGUUCUGGUUUGGCCCAGUAUGAAUGUUUGUACAAGGUUUACAGAACAAUGUGCAAAUACACACUGAUUCAACAACAUAACACACGUUAAGCAUUGUCCAUCCCAGAGCGUCUAUAUCCACGGUGGACUCAAACUAACAGGCGAUAAAAUGCAAGUCUGUGUGUGAUAAAUGGAGAGAAAGGUCACUUUAACUGUGAUGGCCAUCUAUCACUUUAGCAAAACUAUUCUAACAACAUCGUAUUCAGAGACAAACAUUGCAGAUGGUGGAACGGCUCCAAAGACAAAGUGUUUACAGGAAUAGUCUUUUUCCACAUCCCAACCUGAUGGGCUAUUAAAAUGGAGAGCCUCCCUCUACGGCCGUGAUGAUGUAAACAAAAGUGAUCUUCCGAUUACAGUCAGAGCACUGGAAAUAAAAGCAUGGAGCUUGUUGUUCCUCUAUUUGCUAAACUGGAGUCUCAACUUGCCAAAAUCAUUCAUGAUAUUCUACACUUACAGAAAGCACAAUGAAGAUUUACUUUGGAAUUAAACGUGUUUUCCUACGACGGGCAAGCAUGUUCACCACAAAGUACAGGUGUGGAAGACAGACCACCAGGGGAAUAAACGCUUUUGUCUGUGAAUGGUACGACUGCUUGGUGAACAUCAUUUAUGGUCAAAGGAAUGAAAAUGAAGUGUCAAACAGCCCGGCGGCUGACACCCCUUCAGUCAGGUGUUAAGCGCAGCACUAUUCAUGCACAGUGGUGAGGAUAUUAUCAUACACUUUCACAGCAGUUUAAAUUAUUUGUCCAGUGAAAUAGCUACUUGAUCAAG